UAGCCGUAAACGAUACUCGCUAGGUGUCGGCCACGGUGCGACCGUUGUCGGUGCCGUAGGGAAGCCGUGAAGCGAGCCACCUGGGAAGUACGGUCGCAAGGCUGAAACUUAAAGGAAUUGGCGGGGGAGCACCACAAGAGGUGGAGGCUGCGGUUCAAUUGGAUUCAACGCCGGGAAGCUCACCGGAUAAGACAGCGGAAUGAUUGCCGGGCUGAAGACCCUGCAUGACCAGCUGAGAGGAGGUGCAUGGCGUAGUCGUGU
rnacentral:rRNA from 1 species